GACGAACGCUGGCGGCAGGCCCAACACAUGCAAGUCGAACGAGUGGCGGACGGGUGAGUAAUGUCUGGGAAACUGCCCGAUGGAGGGGGAUAACUACUGGAAACGGUAGCUAAUACAGCAUACCAUCGGAUGUGCCCAGAUGGGGUUAGCUAGUAGGUGGGGUAACGGCUCACCUAGGCGACGAGCCCGAGCUGGUCUGAGAGGAUGACCAGCAACACUGGAACGUCGUCACGGUCCAUAUCCCUACGGUAGUCAGCAGUGGGGAUUAUUGCAGAAUGGGCGCAAGCCUGACGCAGCCAUGCCGCGUGUAUGACGAAGGCCUUAGGGUUGUAAAGUACUUUCAGCGAGGAGGCGUUACUCGCAGAAGAAGCACCGGCUAACUCCGUGCCAGCAGCCGCGGUAAUUC
rnacentral:rRNA from 1 species